UUGGUUAUGGCAAAUUGCCUUUGUAGUUAAAAUUAUUCUCAUAUUGUUUUAAUCUGUCUCUUAGGCAAAAAGCCAUUUUGAUCUGAAUAUAUCAAUUCAUUUAGAAACUUUUUUACUCUCUGCCAUUAUUGAACCAUAUAUUUUAUAGUCAGUGUUCAAUAAAGUUAUGAGCCUAUAGUUUUUUAUCUGCAUUAAAUCUGAAUCUUCUUUUGGAAUCAAAGUAAUAUUUGCUUUCAUCCACGAAUUUGGUACCUUUGCAUCAGUUCAAUACUUUAUUAUGGACUUCCAACAUUGAUGGGCCUAA